rnacentral:rRNA from 1 species
GACUGCAGGAMCAUGAACAUCGACAUUUUGAACGCAUAUCGCAGUCCAUGCUGUUAUGUACUUUAAUUAAAUUUAUAGUGCUGCUUGGACUACAUAUGGUUGAGGGUUGUAAGACUAUGCUAAUUAAGUUGUUUAAAAUUUUUUUUAUAAUUUUUAACCUUUUUGUAUUUUUUUGGAAAAUUUUUUGCAGGGGUAAUUUUUUUUUGCCAGACUUUUAAGGUUCAUAAWAUUAAUCAUUGAUUAGGGAUAUAAUGUUUUUCAUUGUAUGUUUUUUUGGGGAAAACUGAAAAAAAAUUUUUUUUUUUUUUCAAUUCAAGAAAUAUGGGGGAAUUUUUAGCAUAAAAAAAAAAUUUUUUUUUUUUCUUUAGAAAUGCCUUUUUAUAAAGGUGCGGAGGAGGAAAUGGUGGAAAUUAUAUAGAUUUUUAAAAUCAAAAUCCAAAACCAUUUUGAACAAAAAUGGAUGUGUUCAUUUAACAUUGUUUUAUACAACCUCAACUCAUAUGGGACUACCCCCUGAAUUUAAGCAUAUUAAUUAGGGGAGGAAAAGAAACUAACAAGGAUUUUCUUAGUAGCGGCGAGCGAAAAGAAAACAGUUCAGCACUAAGUCACUUUGUCUAUAUGGCAAAUGUGAGAUGCAGUGUACGGAACAUCAAUAUUCUAGUAUGAGAAAUUAACGAUUUAAGUCCUUCUUAAAUGAGGCCAUUUACCCAUAGAGGGUGCCAGGCCCGUAUAACGUUAAUGAUUACUAGAUGGUGUUUCCAAAGAGUCGUGUUGCUUGAUAGUGCAGCACUAAGUGGGUGGUAAACUCCAUCUAAAACUAAAUAUAACCAUGAGACCGAUAGUAAACAAGUACCGUGAGGGAAAGUUGAAAAGAACUCUGAAUAGAGAGUUAAAUAGUACGUGAAACUGCUUAGAGGUUAAGCCCGAUGAACCUGAAUAUCCGUUAUGGAAAAUUCAUCAUUAGAAUUGUARUAUUUAAACAAUAUUAUAAUAAUAGUGUGCAUUUUUUCCAUAUAAGGACAUUGUAAUCUAUUAGCAUAAAAAAUUUAUCAAAAAAUUGUGACUUAUUGUUUAUUUCAAUUAUGGUGCUUGCACUUUAACAUAAAGUAAAUGUCAUAAAUUUGAUAAAGUGYUGAUAGAUUUAUAUGAUUACAGUGCGUUAAUUUUUCGAAAUUAUAUAAUGGCAUAUUUAUCAUUGAUUUUUGUGUUUAUUAUAAGCACUUGUAUGAUUAACAAUGCGAAAGAUUCAGGAUACCUUCGGGACCCGUCUUGAAACACGGACCAAGGAGUCUAACAUAUGUGCAAGUUAUUGGGAAAUAAACCUAAUAGCGUAAUUAACUUGACUAUUAAUGGGAUUAGUUUUUUAGCUAUUUAUAGUUAAUUAACACAAUCCCGGGGCGUUCUAUAUAGUUAUGUAUAAUAAUAUUUAUAUUGUUUAUACCUCUAACUGGAACGUACCUUGAGCAUAUAUGCUGUGACCCGAAAGAUGGUGAACUAUACUUGAUCAGGUUGAAGUCAGGGGAAACCCUGAUGGAAGACCGAAACAGUUCUGACGUGCAAAUCGAUUGUCAGAAUUGAGUAUAGGGGCGAAAGACCAAUCGAACCAUCUAGUAGCUG